CCUGAAAAUAAGAGGCUUGUCAUGUCUCUCCAUUUGGUGGAAUGGAUGUGGGACCAGGGGUCAUGUGGCCGCUUCCAUCUGUCUCCUGACAGAGGCACUGACUCAGACAUGCUUUCCAUCCACAGGGCUGCAGCCCACAGCCAGGUGACUGCAAGCUCUCCAUGGGCAUCAAGAAAAACAAGACUUCAAUUUCUUUGAACCCCUGUGUCAGGAGCUAGGCUGACUAUGAAAUAUGGCAGCUUAGGAGUGGCGUGAGUGAACUUUAAUUUCUGAGUUUUGUAAAGGAUUGAUAUUCCCUCAUAUGCUACAUGCUGCUCUUGCUGUCAAACCAGGCCAUGCAUUCACUGUUUCAUGAUAGAAUAAGAAAUUCAGAAUUGACAGGGACUAAACUCUGUGGCCCAGUCCCAUUCCUCAUCUGAUAUGUGAGUUCACUAUAACUUUGCAGGUAAACCCAAUGAUUGUCUGAACAUCACUGCUGGCUCCUAUAAUUGCUCAUGUUUGUCAGAAAGCUCAACUCUUAGAAAGUGUUUUCUUGUACUUUACCAAAAUCUAUUUUCUGGUGUUUUUCUCGCAUUAGUCCCUCCACAUGUUAAUAUGGGCCCUGGAAGCAGAGGCUCGUUCUCCCGAGAAGCUGCCCUCUACGCUAUGGGCCCUGCGUAAGUGUCAAUAAGGUGGCUCACUUGCCUUAUUUCCAGCAAUAACCCUGAUUUUCUUUGGAGAAUCUGCCCUCCUCCACUCUCAUGUCAUGAGGUUUAAUGACAUCUCUCUCCCUCCUUUCUCCAAGCUCGAUGGGUAGGCAUAAUUUCUAAAGCUAUGCAGUGGGACUCACUGUCCUGAACUUUCAAUCUUGAUUAGGUGGUAGAAGGACAGCCCCCCUGCCCUGAGACAACACUCGGAGGCCUGUAUUCCAGCGAGAGUGCCCUGACAAGACAGCUCUGGCCACCCUUGCCUGGCUCCUCCACCUUCCCGUCAGUUUCGUGAGUUCUCCAGCCUUUUCCCAGGUAAGUCCAGUUUCCCUUCAAUGUAUGAGAGUUAUAGUCUAUUGCCUAUAGCAAUAUCAUUCUCAAUAUAAAACAAAGUGCAGGUUUCAAUAGUAACCAGGCUCUGAGGCUGGUCUGCCUUGACUCACGUUAGCCUCGCUGACACAGCUCUCUGGGUUUCCUGGUGGGCACCUCAUUCUUCCACCAUCCAUUAAGGGACAGCCUAGCCUUGGGCCUGAGUGCUCAGAAGUUAUUUAGGAUCUGAGACUCUUGCUUGGGGGUGAUGAGUAGCUCCUGUAUUUGCAGAAUGAAUUCUCGGUGGGACCUUUGAAAAAAUAAAAAAUAAAUUAGGAUCCAAAUGAGGACCAGAUAUUGAGAUUCAUGGAGAUUCAUAGAUAUGUCUUUUAAUGUAAUAUAUGUCCUUUAAUUCUUUAAUCUAUGGAUUCCCUCUCUCUCUGUCUCUUUCUCUCCAGCUGCUUUCCUCUAAGACAUGGCUUAUUGUUCACUGUUGUAUCUCUGUUGCCUAAAACAGCAGGUGUGGCAGACAGACUUUAAGGUGUCCCAUGAUUCCUACCUCUUGGGGUCUACAGCUUUGUGUAAUCCCAUCCCCUUGGCUGUGGCUUGCCUCUAGCCAAUAGGAUGUGGCAAAGGUGAUGAGAUGUUAUGCCCAUGGUUAUGUUAUAGAAGAGUCUGUCUUGUUAUCACUCUCUCUCUGUCCCUCUCCCUGUUACUGGCUUUGAAGGAACAAGCUUCCAUGAAAUAAAUGGCCAUAUUGGAGAAGCCCAAGUGGCAAGGAACUGUCAGCAGUCUCUAAGAGCUGAGGGUAGACUCCAGCAAGAAACUGAAACCCUCAGUCUGACAGCCACAAGGAAAUAAAUUCUGCCAACAACCUGAAGAAGCUUGGAGCAGAUCUUUCCUCAGUUGAGCCUCUGAUGAGACUGCAGCCCGAGCUGUCACCUGGAUAGCAGCUGGUGAAACCCUUCAACAGAGAAACCAGCCAACCUGUGUGUAAACUUCUGACCUGCAGAAACUGUAGAUAAAGAGUGUGUGUUAUUUAGAACUGCUAAGUUUGUGGUAGUUAAGCAGCAUAGAAAAUGAAUACAGUAGGCCAGGAGUGGUGGCUCACGCCUGUAAUCCCA
rnacentral:lncRNA from 1 species